AUUGAGGAAAUUCGCGGAUCCUAUGGCCGGGCUGGUGUUGCGUCAGGAUCUCCGGAGAGAGAAACGCAGGGGUCGGCGGGUCCUGUCCGCAAUUCACUGGGAGAGGCAACGAGUACCCAACCUUUGUCCCCGGCAUGGAAUACUGUCGUGAAGGAAGGGCGGCGUAAGCCUCAGAAGCCCCUAAAAGUGGCCACGCAAACGCAAUCGAAACCUGGCGGCAUGCACACUCGUCUAAAUCGAGAGCGCAAAAUGGGAAUAGUCGGUACCGGCACAACCUAAGCAAAUUCAGACCUGUUUAUGCACCUGAAGACUUCCUUGAGGUAUUGAUUGCUUUAAGAAACCCUAAUAAUGAUUGCAGUGAAGAACUCACAGUCAGAAGCCACUGGGGAUUAAUCCAGGUUUCCCUCAAUGUCCGUGACAUUCCUCAAAUGGUGAGCUAAUCUGGGUUUCCCACUGUUUUUUUUCUUCUGUUUUCAUUUAAUCUUAAGCAGCGGUUCAGUGGUUCUUAAAUUUUUUUGGCAUGCAACCCCCCUUGUGUAGGGUGCAUCCCUUCACCCUCCCCUCAUAAAAUUUAAAAUAUGAAUUAAACAAAACAUAUUAAUAAUACAAUGUAGGUUUAAUUACACUGAAUAUAUUUUAUUAAAUGCAGUUUUUGAACCACUGAUCUAAGCAGUGGCGGCCGGUGACUUCUUUUUUCGAGGGCGCACUAUGGAAAGUUUGUCACAACAUGUAUGUAGCCCGUCAUGUGUGUGGUUCGUCAUUUCAAAAUAUGUGUUCUGCGUUUUAAGAGAUCCUGUGUGCAUCACGUGUCUUGUCAAAAUAAGUGCCUGCUGCAGACGCGUCUAAAGGGUUUAUGAUAAAAGAGAUGCUCUCGUUUGCCAAAUACUCACAUAAUCUCAUGCGUAAUCAGAGUUUACUGUUAAGGGAGUGUCUUUGUUAAGGGAGCAUGUAUUUUGUGAAUGUGAGCGUCUCUUUUAUCAUAAAUGGUUUAACGUGUGUGCAGCAGGCACUUGUUUGACAAAACACGUGAUGCACAAGAUUCACAUGACGCAACAAACACAUAUUUUGAAAACACGUGCAACACACAUGACACUCCGAACACUUAUUUUGAAUUUGCGCCCCUCUGAUGAGCAGUCACGAGCCGCCACUGGAUCUAAGCAAACAAUUUGCAACUAUUGUAACUACUGAAGAAACCAUUUCGUAUACAAAUUUAACUAAUUAAGAGAUGCGGUGAUGAAAUGAGACAUCAAAACAAUAAUACCACAAAUUUUUUUGUAGUAC